ACGAACCGUCCGAACGUUAUUCGGUAUCACUGGGCUUAAAGAGUUCGUAGGCGGCCUGUUAGGUCAGGUGUGAAAUCCCACAGCUCAACUGUGGAACUGCGCUUGAAACCGGCAGGCUCGAGGGAGAUAGAGGUGAGCGGAACAGAUGGUGGAGCGGUGAAAUGCGUUGAUAUCAUCUGGAACACCGGUGGCGAAAGCGGCUCACUGGAUCUCUUCUGACGCUGAGGAACGAAAGCUAGGGUAGCGAACGGG
rnacentral:rRNA from 1 species